rnacentral:lncRNA from 1 species
GCCCUUCUAAUAUACUGCCCUUUCCAUUUUGAAGAACUACAGUUUUAACAGGGGCCUUUUAGAAUCAAUGCUUUAACCAUCCAUAGAACUCUAAUGAUUGGAAUUUUCCAUUGUUGUAAGAGAUGAUUUUUAUCAGGUGAAGCCUUUUGUCAUCUUGAUAGGCGACCACUGUAACUGUGACUGAAGCUCUGCUGGUUCCUAUAGUUGCUUAACAUGCUUUCCACAAUUCUUUAAGGCCCUUUGCUGUGAUCUAGUGCAUGCACUCUGGAAAAUGUUGGUGGAAUCAGCACCUUGGGGAGGCAGAUGCUGUUUGCAUUCCUGGCCUGGCUGCCUCCUCCAGCAAGCAGUCAUUCUGUUAUCAGUUCUGUAGCCACAUCUUCAUCUCUGACUCAAAUUCCUCUGCUCCAUCUUUUACGUAUAAGGACCUCUGUGAUGACAUCGGACCUACCAGGAUAAUGGAGGAUAAUCUCUCCAUCUCAAAAUUCUAAUGUAAUUAUACCUGCAAAUUCCCUUUUGCCAUAUAAGAUAAUGAAUUCACAAGUUCCAUGUUUUAGGACAUAGGCAUCUUUAAGGGGUCAUUUUACCUUCCACAGUGACUGAUAAAAUAUGGCAGAAGGAACAAUGUGUGAUUUCCUUUGCAUUGCAAC